rnacentral:rRNA from 1 species
UACGAAGGGUGCAAGCGUUACUCGGAAUUACUGGGCGUAAAGCGUGCGUAGGCGGUUUGUUAAGUCUGUCGUGAAAGCCCUGGGCUCAACCUGGGAAUUGCGAUGGAUACUGGCAAGCUAGAGUACGGUAGAGGAUGGUGGAAUUCCCGGUGUAGCGGUGAAAUGCGUAGAGAUCGGGAGGAACACCCGUGGCGAAGGCGGCCAUCUGGACCAGUACUGACGCUGAGGCACGAAAGCGUGGGGAGCGAACAGG